UACGGGGGGGGCAAGCGUUGUUCGGAAUUACUGGGCGUAAAGGGCGCGUAGGCGGCCUUCUAAGUCGAACGUGAAAUCCCCGGGCUCAACCCGGGAACUGCGUCCGAUACUGGAAGGCUUGAAUCCGGGAGAGGGGUGCGGAAUUCCAGGUGUAGCGGUGAAAUGCGUAGAUAUCUGGAGGAACACCGGUGGCGAAGGCGGCAUCCUGGACCGGCAUUGACGCUGAGGCGCGAAAGCCAGGGGAGCAAACGGG
rnacentral:rRNA from 1 species